GUAGGUGGCAAGCGUUGUCCGGAAUUAUUGGGCGUAAAGCGCGCGCAGGCGGUCCUUUAAGUCUGAUGUGAAAGCCCACGGCUCAACCGUGGAGGGUCAUUGGAAACUGGGGGACUUGAGUACAGAAGAGGAAAGCGGAAUUCCAAGUGUAGCGGUGAAAUGCGUAGAGAUUUGGAGGAACACCAGUGGCGAAGGCGGCUUUCUGGUCUGUAACUGACGCUGAGACGCGAAAGCGUGGGGAGCAAACAGGAUUAGAUACCCUGGUAGUCCACGCCGUAAACGAUGAGUGCUAAGUGUUAGGGGGUUUCCCGCCCCCUUAGUGCUGCAGCUAACGCAUUAAGCACUCCGCCUGGGGAGUACGGCCGCAAGGCUG
rnacentral:rRNA from 1 species